CAAUAGCGUAUAUUUAAGUUGCUGCAGUUAAAAAGCUCGUAGUUGGAUUUCGGGUGGGAAUGGCCGGUCCGCCGUUUCGGUGUGCACUUGCUACGCCCACCUUGCUGCCGGGGACGUGCUCUUGAGUUCACGCUCGGGACACGGAGUCGGCGAGGUUACUUUGAGUAAAUUAGAGUGUUCAAAGCAGGCCCACGCUCUGAAUACAUUAGCAUGGAAUAACACGAUAGGACUCUGGCCUAUCUUGUUGGUCUGUAGGACCGGAGUAAUGAUUAAGAGGGACAGUCGGGGGCAUUCGUAUUUCAUUGUCAGAGGUGAAAUUCUUGGAUUUAUGAAAGACGAACUACUGCGAAAGCAUUUGCCAAGGAUGUUUUCAUUAA
rnacentral:rRNA from 1 species